rnacentral:rRNA from 1 species
UACGAAGGGGGCUAGCGUUGCUCGGAAUCACUGGGCGUAAAGCGCACGUAGGCGGGUUGUUAAGUCAGGGGUGAAAUCCUGGAGCUCAACUCCAGAACUGCCUUUGAUACUGGCAAUCUUUGAGUCCGGAAGAGGUAAGUGGAACUGCGAGUGUAGAGGUGAAAUUCGUAGAUAUUCGCAAGAACACCAGUGGCGAAGGCGGCUUACUGGUCCGGUUCUGACGCUGAGGCGCGAAAGCGUGGGGAGCAAACAGG